AUGUGGAUCUGGUGGCUGUU
rnacentral:piRNA from 1 species